GAUGAACGCUGGCGGCGUGCCUAAUACAUGCAAGUCGAGCGAACAGACGAGGAGCUUGCUCCUCUGGCGUUAGCGGCGGACGGGUGAGUAACACGUGGAUAACCUACCUAUAAGACUGGGAUAACUUCGGGAAACCGGAGCUAAUACCGGAUAAUAUAUUGAACCGCAUGGUUCAAUAGUGAAAGACGGUUUUGCUGUCACUUAUAGAUGGAUCCGCGCCGCAUUAGCUAGUUGGUAAGGUAACGGCUUACCAAGGCAACGAUGCGUAGCUGACCUGAGAGGGUGAUCGGCCACACUGGAACUGAGACACGGUCCAGACUCCUACGGGAGGCAGCAGUAGGGAAUCUUCCGCAAUGGGCGAAAGCCUGACGGAGCAACGCCGCGUGAGUGAUGAAGGUCUUCGGAUCGUAAAACUCUGUUAUUAGGGAAGAACAAAUGUGUAAGUAACUAUGCACGUCUUGACGGUACCUAAUCAGAAAGCCACGGCUAACUACGUG
rnacentral:rRNA from 1 species